GGUUGUUUUAGGACAAGUUAAGUCUGACGUGCAUUGACUUUAUGCUGUGUUGUCAAGGUUUCAAAGUCGGAAGCAGUGUGGAAGAGCUCAGGAGAGAGAUGAAGAGAGAACUCAGGGAGUUUGAAAAUGUUGAUUCAGGACUUGGAAACAAAACAAGUAAUUAAAAUAGUUGAAUGGAAUGGAGUGCCCAGGCUUAGAUUAUCAAGAGAAUAGGAUCAGAGAGCCCCAAAAACUCUCAAGGAAAAGGCUAAGAAGGAGGUCUCGGGGGAGUAUGGUUUAGUGGGAGUUGAGAAAGGAGAAAGGAUUCAAUGGAAUCACAUGUUAGUGCACAAACGGUUAAUAUUACCCUUCGGAUUUGGGAGUUAAGGAUCCCUGAUUACUUCAGCAGGCCGUUUUCAAUGAGGGCAAUUCCAAUCUUCGAUGACUUGAGAAGAGAAGAAGUGGGAAUAUCAUGCAUUGUGUUCCGUUUGACAAGGUGCAAGUGGGAAAUAAAACUUACUGUCUUUGCAUUGAUGGAAGCAGCAACCUCAGAUUCAUCAAGUCCUUGGCAGGAUAUUUCACGCAGCCCACCUUCUGCAUUUGGCAUUAUAUAUGCCCCCGUGAGUAGCUUUUCCUCUAAAAUAAGUUUGAGAAGUUUUCUACCUCAUCCUUUAAUCCCAUUGUGCACCCCCACAAAGAAUCCUCCUAAAUGUGUGGCCUUUCAGUUGUAUGAAUUGUGGCAAGAACUUAAAAGACAAAACUCAUUUUUAAACAAUCCAAAUUUUGCUUCAUCAUGUGGGAUACCUGGGUUUGACCCCUGAGUUGGGAAGAUCCUCUGGAGAUGGAAAUGGCACCCCACUCCAGUACUUUUGCCUGGAAAAUUCCUUGGGUGACGGAGCCUGGUAGGCUACAGUCCAUGGGGUCACAAAGAGUCAGACAUGACUGAGCAACCUCACUGGUCUAUGCAGAGGUGGCUGAUGGUAGUCAUGAAAGUAGCAAUCCCUGACUUGACCAGAUGAGGUAGGCAGUAUUUUGAGAUGAACUCCAAGAUUCCUGCUCCUCCAGUGUGCAUAAUCUUGAAUAAUGCCUUCCCCUUGAGGAUGGGAGAAAGCUUGAAUUUGUUCCUAACUAAUAGAAUAUGAUCAGAGAAGGCAAUGGCACCCUACUCCAGUACUCUUGCCUGGAAAAUCCAUGGACAGAAGAGCCUGGUAGGCUACAGUCCACGGGGUCACUAAGAGUCAGACACGACUGAGCGACUUCACUUUCACUUUUCACUUUCAUGCAUUGGAGAAGGAAAUGGCAACCCACUCCAGUGUUUUUGCCUGGAGAAUCCCAGGGGUGGGGAAGCCUGGUGGGCUGCUGUCUAUGGGGUCACACAGAGUCAGACAUUACUGAAGCAACACAGCAGCAG
rnacentral:lncRNA from 1 species